rnacentral:rRNA from 1 species
AUUGAACGCUGGCGGCAGGCCUAACACAUGCAAGUCGAACGAGUGGCGGACGGGUGAGUAAUGUCUGGGAAACUGCCUGGUGGAGAGGGAUAACUACUGGAAACGGUAACUGAUCCCGCAUACCAUCAGAUGUGCCCAGAUGGGAUUAGCUUGUUGGUGGUGUAACGGCUCACCAAGGCGACGCUCCCUAGCUGGUCUAAGAGGAUGACCAGCCACACUGGAACUGAGACACGGGCCAGACUCCUACGGGAGGCAGCAGUGGGGAAGAUUGCACAAUGGGCGCAAGCCUGAUACAGCCAUGCCGCGUGUAUGAAGAAGGCCGUCGGGUUGUAAAGUACUUUCAGCAGGGAGGCGUUACCCGCAGAAGAAGCACCGGCUAACUCCGUGCCAGCAGCCGCGGUAAUAC